rnacentral:rRNA from 1 species
GACGAACGCUGGCGGCGUGCUUAACACAUGCAAGUCGAACGGAAAGGCCCUUCGGGGUACUCGAGUGGCGAACGGGUGAGUAACACGUGGGUGAUCUGCCCUGCACUUUGGGAUAAGCCUGGGAAACUGGGUCUAAUACCGAAUAGGACCACGCGCUUCAUGGUGUGUGGUGGAAAGCUUUUGCGGUGUGGGAUGGGCCCGCGGCCUAUCAGCUUGUUGGUGGGGUAAUGGCCUACCAAGGCGACGACGGGUAGCCGGCCUGAGAGGGUGACCGGCCACACUGGGACUGAGAUACGGCCCAGACUCCUACGGGAGGCAGCAGCGGGGAAUAUUGCACAAUGGGCGCAAGCCUGAUGCAGCGACGCCGCGUGAGGGAUGACGGCCUUCGGGUUGUAAACCUCUUUCAAUAGGGACGAAGCGCAAGUGACGGUACCUAUAGAAGAAGCACCGGCCAACUACGUG